rnacentral:rRNA from 1 species
CCUACGGGAGGCAGCAGUGGGGAAUAUUGCACAAUGGGCGAAAGCCUGAUGCAGCGACGCCGCGUGAGGGAUGACGGCCUUCGGGUUGUAAACCUCUUUCAGUAGGGAAGAAGCGAAAGUGACGGUACCUGCAGAAGAAGCGCCGGCUAACUACGUGCCAGCAGCCGCGGUAAUACGUAGGGCGCAAGCGUUAUCCGGAAUUAUUGGGCGUAAAGAGCUCGUAGGCGGUUUGUCGCGUCUGCCGUGAAAGUCCGGGGCUUAACUCCGGAUCUGCGGUGGGUACGGGCAGGCUAGAGUGCAGUAGGGGAGACUGGAAUUCCUGGUGUAGCGGUGAAAUGCGCAGAUAUCAGGAGGAACACCGAUGGCGAAGGCAGGUCUCUGGGCUGUAACUGGCGCUGAGGAGCGAAAGCAUGGGUAGCGAACAGGAUUAGAUACCCUGGUAGUCCAUGCCGUAAACGUUGGGCACUAGGUGUGGGGGACAUUCCACGUUUUCCGCGCCGUAGCUAACGCAUUAAGUGCCCCGCCUGGGGAGGUACGGCCGCGACGACGUAAACUACAAANAGAAGUUAGUACGGCGUGAGACGUAGCCGACGGACGACCGACGAGGGAGGUUAGG